AUAAGCUUAGAGUCAUGUCUACAAAUGCUCGCAGUUUAGGGAAUAAGAUCCAUGAACUUGUGUCAAUAAUGGCAACUGAUAGUGUAGAUUUAGUCGCUGUUACUGAGACAUGGUAUAAUGAGAAAAAUGACUGGGACAUAGCAAUACCAGGAAAGGGGGAGGGGUGGCCUUGUAUGUGAAGGAUAGCAUAAAA